ensembl:lncRNA
GCAGGGUGUGACGUGCGGAGAGGGAGCAUGACGCCAGCCCAAUAACGUCCUCACCGCGGCGCUGCGCCUGUCGCCAGCGGCCCCGCUAACCUGUGAGGCCCCGCCCCCGAGGGCCGACACAGCACCGCGGGACCGCACCCUGGUCCGACCCACGCUUUACACUCCCGGAGGGAGAAGCCAAUCGUGAACAGAGCGGGGGAACAAAAGCACGAAAGAAAGGAGGUGAAGAACGAAAGAAAGCACUAAGGAAGGAGACAGAGGGAGAGGGAGGGCCGACAGCGACUGGGCCAGCCGCCAUCCUCUGGCGGGCCUGGCGCGGGGCCAGGGGCCAGGGGCCAGGGGCCAGGGGCCAGCAUUAAUACUGUAAUACGCUGUUAGGAGGAGGUGGAGGAGAAUGGGCCUCGUCGGCUCCCCGCCCGGCUCCCGCCCGGCUCCCCGCCCGGCUCCUCAAGGACACCUUUGAACAUCACACAGCGUCCCGUACAGCGUCGUUGGGAAGUAAUUACGUGAGGAAGUAACCGUGAGCGGCCGUGCAGGAUUAGCAUAGAGCUAGCGCGUGGACGGACUGACGGAGGCUCACAGAUAGACAAUGGGAUGUGUAUGCAUGUUUGUUUGUGUGUAUGGAUGUCUGAGCUCUUGCCAUAGCUGAAUUCAUUUCUAAAGUGACGUUCUGAAUGAAAGGAUGAGACAAAUGGGAAAGAGACUUAGCGUUUGAUGGAAUGAUAUACCUCAUAGGAAACGCACAGACGCACACGCACAGUCCCUUUGACAUGGUAUUUGCUACUCAGUUGAUUAAGAAGCAACAAGGACAUGUGAGAACUAUUUAUGCACCGGCCUAUUCUACUCAUUAACAACGGCAGACGCCUCAAGUCAACGUCAGCCACGAGAGCAUACUUCAUACCGAUAACAGAUAAUAACGAUGGCGACAGACUGUUACUUAUUUGCUCUCGCUCAUGAGGACACGGGUAAAGUGAUGGCAGCCGUCCACAAGACGAAGUGCGAAAACAAUGUACACACCCCUCACGCCCACCUUCUCUGCGUCAUGCUCGGUGACUCCUAUUCUCUGCUCCCAAAGCGCCCGCCCUCCCAUACAUUUGAACUGUAUUUAUACUAAAUUUCGUUGGCUUCCAUGUUCAUUUAAAUCCAUCCCACACAACAAAUACUCAGGUUUCGGUCCUUGCAGGAAGACACAAGUUUGAUGAAUCAAAAAAAUCUGAGCGCAUAUUAAUCUUUAAUAACUGUAUAGAUUAUGUAUAUACUGCAUGUAUAUAUUAUAUCCACGCAUUUACCUACUUAUAUAAUAAAAUUGAUUACGAUUUAUAUCCAUGAUUUAUUAUUCAUUGUAUUUGAAGAACCAUGAGAUAGCUGGUUGUAGAGAUGGGUAGGCCUACUUUUAUAGAACACUGACUAAAUAU